GCCGAAGUAGCUCAGUUGGUAGAGCAACUGAUUUGUAAUCAGUAGGUCGCGGGUUCGACUCCCUUCUUCGGCU
rnacentral:tRNA from 1 species